AUAGCAAAUAGCAUUGAUAUUAUCUCUCCCCAUCUGACUGAAGGAGAAAUGUUUUCACUUGGGUCUUUGCUCUUUGACCUUUUGUAGAAAUCUAUUUAGCGAAGUACACGGUCACGUUAUCAGAGAAUGGGUUUGGAAGACUCCAGGUAUUGCUGUUCUCUAUUCAUGUAAGGAGGAUCAGGAAAGUGAGAAGAUGAAGGGAUAAAUUCUCUAACAUCUUGGUGUAGAAACUCAGAUACAUCACAGGGGACAGAAACCUUUACAACUAUUCUGAAGGAAAACGGGACUUUUUCUCAGAAAAAUUUGUCCUGUAAAGGACUGCUGCAGGCAGUAAGCAGACUGAAGAUCAAUAUCACCAAAGGAAUGGGUUUCUGUUGGAACUUAACUUAACUGUCUCUUGUUGUACAAGAUGCAAGUAUAAUCAAGGAAAUGAUUAUUUGAUAAACAACGAAGCUCAGUCAGGAAGGAACAACAAACACUUGGUGUCAGAUUGAAUGGGGUGCUCAUUAUAUCUUGUUCACUGGGUGGUCCAGGAAUAGCUGCAUCAGUAGAUUCUCCUGAGGAACUGAAAAGCAAACAACAGCCACCAACUGUAGUAUAGAGGAAAAAUGUUCAGACUGAGUAGAUGAAGACUGGGCAUAAUGCCAACUUAAAUUCUUUGUGACAAUAAAUUGUGAUCCCAAAUCUACUGUCAUAC